rnacentral:rRNA from 1 species
AUUGGAUCAGGUAGGAAUACCCGCUGAACUUAAGCAUAUCAAUAAGCGGAGGAAAAGAAACCAACAGGGAUUGCCCUAGUAACGGCGAGUGAAGCGGCAACAGCUCAAAUUUGAAAUCUGGCGCAAGCCCGAGUUGUAAUUUGUAGAGGAUGCUUCUGGGCAGCGGCCGGUCUAAGUUCCUUGGAACAGGACGUCAUAGAGGGUGAGAAUCCCGUAUGUGACCGGCUGGCACCCUCCACGUAGCUCCUUCGACGAGUCGAGUUGUUUGGGAAUGCAGCUCUAAAUGGGAGGUAAAUUUCUUCUAAAGCUAAAUACCGGCCAGAGACCGAUAGCGCACAAGUAGAGUGAUCGAAAGAUGAAAAGCACUUUGGAAAGAGAGUUAAAAAGCACGUGAAAUUGUUGAAAGGGAAGCGCUUGCGACCAGACUUGUCGGCGGUGUUCCGCCGGUCUUCUGACCGGUUCACUCGCCGUCGGCAGGCCAGCAUCAUCUGGGGCCGCCGGAUAAAGGCUUGGGGAAUGUAGCUCCCUUCGGGGAGUGUUAUAGCCCCUUGCACAAUACGGCGCGCCCCGGGUGAGGUCCGCGUCUCGGCAAGGAUGCUGGCGUAAUGGUCGUAAGCGGCCCGUCUUGAAACACGGACCAAGGAGUCGAUUAUCUAUGCGAGUGUUCGGGCGUCAAACCCCUACGCGUAAUGAAAGUGAACGGAGGUGGGAACCCUUAGGGUGCACCAUCGACCGAUCCGGAUGUCUUCGGAUGGAUUUGAGUAAGAGCAUAGCUAAUCGGACCCGAAAGAUGGUGAACUAUGCCUGAAUAGGGUGAAGCCAGAGGAAACUCUGGUGGAGCUCGCAGCGGUUCUGACGUGCAAAUCGAUCGUCAAAUUUGGGUAUAGGGGGCGAAAGACUAAUCGAACCAUCUAGUAGCUGGUUCCCUGCCGAAGUUUCCCUCAGGAAAUC